UUGUUGUCGCUUAAAAUCCGACUUGAUACAUGGAUGAGUUGAGACAAGCGAUAUGCUCUACUCGAUUGGGCUGGAGGAGCAUGCAACUGUGGUGGGUCUAAUCUGCACCCAAAGAAAAGGAUUAAGAGAUAUCCAGAAUGCAUUCGGCAAGGAACCAUACAGUGCAUAGGUUAGGUAGAGUUUCAAGAGUAAAUAGGGG
rnacentral:lncRNA from 1 species